rnacentral:rRNA from 1 species
GAGUUUGAUCCUGGCUCAGAUUGAACGCUGGCGGCAUGCCUUACACAUGCAAGUCGAACGGCAGCAGGGGCUUCGGAUUGCUGGCGAGUGGCGAACGGGUGAGUAAUACAUCGGAACGUGCCCUGUAGUGGGGGAUAACUAGUCGAAAGAGUAGCUAAUACCGCAUACGAUCUGAGGAUGAAAGCGGGGGACCUUCGGGCCUCGUGCUAUAGGAGCGGCCGAUGGCUGAUUAGCUAGUUGGUGGGGUAAAGGCUUACCAAGGCGACGAUCAGUAGCUGGUCUGAGAGGACGACCAGCCACACUGGGACUGAGACACGGCCCAGACUCCUACGGGAGGCAGCAGUGGGGAAUUUUGGACAAUGGGCGCAAGCCUGAUCCAGCAAUGCCGCGUGUGUGAAGAAGGCCUUCGGGUUGUAAAGCACUUUUGUCCGGAAAGAAAUGCCUGGGGCUAAUACCCGGGGUCGAUGACGGUACCGGAAGAAUAAGCACCGGCUAACUACGUGCCAGCAGCCGCGGUAAUACGUAGGGUGCAAGCGUUAAUCGGAAUUACUGGGCGUAAAGCGUGCGCAGGCGGUUUGCUAAGACCGAUGUGAAAUCCCCGGGCUCAACCUGGGAACUGCAUUGGUGACUGCAAGGCUAGAGUGUGGCAGAGGGGGGUAGAAUUCCACGUGUAGCAGUGAAAUGCGUAGAGAUGUGGAGGAAUACCGAUGGCGAAGGCAGCCCCCUGGGCCAACACUGACGCUCAUGCACGAAAGCGUGGGGAGC